CGCUGCCAGAAACGUGACUGACAAAAAUCCAUGGCGGGAUUGUAUAAAUAGUGGAACUUCGCAUGUGCCACACAGACCUGUCUUCACCGCCUUGAUCUCCGGCUGGUCGAGGAUUACUUUCACCGAAACAAAAUGAAGUUUACGCACUAUUUGGCUCUAAUGGUUCUGUUGGUGCUGGUGGUGGGAAUGACAGUUGCUGAUCCCGCACCAGAGGCUUUAGCUAACCCUGAGCCCUAUAAGAAACUUAAAUUAAAGAAAUUAAAGAAAGUUGGUGCUUUACUGAAGCUCCACUUCUUCAAAGGGCGUGGAAAGCUACGCCAGCGUGCUAGGGGACACCAGCGUCAGCAUGGUCAUGGCAGCUGGUGAUGGGGAGGGCACGGAUGGUGAGGACCUGCAACAUGACAAUAGACACGUGAACAAAGAAUUCUGUACUUCUGAACGUUCUCCCCCUACCAUCUCCCCUUCAAUUGUUCGUUGUCCUUCCCGUGUGACCAUGAUGGUACGAACAAAUGAACCUUACACUACAUUCAUGAGCCUGUUGAGUUUUGUGAAAGGGACUGGCCGUGUACGGCAAAAGGAAGCACGCUACGCGGAACGAUUGAAUAAAUCUAAGUGCCUUCCUGUUUUCAUGUCCUUCAGCCCUUCACCCUCAUUUGUGAUGUAUAUACAACAUAGGAUCCAUGACAGCUUAAUACUACUCUUUAUAGGGAAUAGCACAUCUACUAAUAA